GAUCAUGAACCUCCUGAAGCUUUUCUUGCCGCUUUGCAAGAUCUUCCUGUUGCUCCUGACUAAAUUCCUUCAAGCGUUGCAAUGUAUUCCUACAAAAUUGCAGCAAAAAAAGAAUACAGUUAGACAAAAAGUCUUGCCUUAAAACAUAAACUGCUCCAAUGUGUUUGAAACUUACCUACUCUCUUGCAGUGCCUCAGACUGAAACCGGAUCAUUCAUUUUAGUUGAUAGGUUGUUUCCAAGUACAUUUAUUUCCCCCUCAAUCUGCUUUGUAUCGCUUAUCAACUUAUCUACUCCUUCCUGGAUGUUUGUAUAAGCAUCACUGAACAUCUCCAUUCCAUCUUUCAACGUCUCUUUCAUCUUCA